rnacentral:rRNA from 1 species
CUUGGCGACCAUAGCGUUUUUGGACCCACCUGAUUCCAUUCCGAACUCAGAAGUGAAACGAAUAGCGUCGAUGGUAGUGGGGUUUCCCCAUGUGAGAGUAGAACAUCGCCAGGC